CCCAGUGUAGAAAGGUGUCUGUCCUGGGCGGGUGUCACACAGGCUCUGGGGUCAGGGCUGUGCGGGGUUUGGCCUUGUCACUGAUGCGUUGCUGUGUUAUAGGAGUUGAAUGUCACUCUCAGCCCUGCCGGGUGGGAGGUCCAUUCUGCUGGCCCCUCCCUCACCACCCAACGCUGCCUGCUGCCCUUGCUGAUACUGGACAGCCCAAGAAAUAGGCUGGAGAGGAAAAGGCCAGAGCAGGUUGGGGAAGACUUGGAGGCUGCGGCAGCUGGGAGUAGGGGCGUAGAGGGCCUGGGCUGGAGAGGGUGACCCUAGGGGAGGUGGUGGGCUGUGGCUGGUGGCUUUUGAGCUGGGGGGGGGAGCAGUUGUGGAGGCCCCUCCUGCUCCCUGUCUGGCUCAGCUCUGGCUGGCAGCCGUGGGUGUUGAAUACAGCUCAGCUGAGCAUCCAGCACUGGGGAGGGAUCAAGACAGCUCGAUGCAUGGAUGGGCGCGCAGUGCAGGGGUGGCGCAGGGGUGGCGCAGGGGUGUCAGCAGUGAUGGCAGCAGGAGGUGGCAGGGGAUGAGGUGGGGGCAGAGGAGGCAGCUUUGGAAACAGGGCCUCGGGGGCCCAGUUGAGAGAGGCAGAGCAGCAUAUUAGAGGUGGCCUGGAGCAGGGAUAGGUCGCCCGUCCCUUCUCUGUGCAGGCCACCGUCAUAGGACACCAAGAAAUUGGGCUGGCGGGCUGCCCACCCAUAUGGGGAAACUGAGGCUCAGGAGAGCAGGCUGUCCAGAAGCUAGCUAGUCAGAGCUGGGGUUCCAGAGCCCAGCAUUGGAAGAGGGCAGCAGGGGAUAAUAUGACAGAUCCUUGAGGCUGGGGACCCCCAUCUGCCCCAUCCCCAGAGAAUCCUCGGACAGGAAGGGAGGAUACCUGAGGAGCAGGAGAACACGCUUAGUCUCUACUGCCCCGGGGCCUCAGUCUACUUCUCAGUGAAAUGGAGACAGCCUCGGGCUACCUGUCAAUGCUUUCAUCUUUGGUGAUGAACCCCGAGGUUCCAGCACUCAGAGGAAAUGGAGGGGCCCCAGGAAAACUACCUUUUAGCUUUUGGACCUCUGGUUACUCUCAGUCUGUGCCUCAUUUUCCCUCCUGCAUGGGGAUCCCAGGUCUUCCCGGGCCAUGCUGGCACAGGGUAUCGGGGUGCUGUGCCUCCCCACUUCUCUCCUCCCUGUACUCUGUUCCCCCACUCCCCUACCCUGGCUCCCAGAACCCCGGAGGGCUGCUCUGAUGAGAGGUUCAUUUUCCUUUCAUUGUGCAGGUGACAGACCCUGCUGCCAAUAAUCUCCUGUGACAAAUCAACACUGAAGUCCAGUGGCCCCCUGGCCCUGACGGAAUCCAAGUAGAUCGAAGUGGAAAAAACCCAGGGCCUCUGGGGGUGGGGCCUGGAGGGACCACCACACCCAGCAGGUGCAUCGGGAGGGGCCCACCUUCUCUGUCACCCUCGUAGUCUGCCCAGAAAUCCCCUCCCUCCUCAUUCUUCAGGAUGCUCUGAAGAAGCAGGGUGACAGGUCUGGCUGCAGUGCCAGGAAGAGGGACCUAUCCUGAAGGGGAUCCUGAAAUGCCUGGGACAACAAGGAGCCUCCCAAAAAUGGGAGGGAAUCCAAUUUCCCUCCUUGUCUCCCUGUCUCCGCAGCAUGGGGCUUCCAGGGCAGGUCUGGCCGGCCUCUGGGGUCCCAAGUCCUCAGCCCGUCGUGGGUGAAGGAUGUGAAGAGGGCUAGAAGUGGGAGCGGUGUGCCACUCUCUGGAUAGGCAAUCUCACAGAUGAGUGGGAGACCCCGAGCCUGGCAGGAACUCUGACCUGGGGGUCGGGGGUAGGGGUGGGCAGAAUUUCCCCUAAUGGUCUCAUUUUGUGCCUCUUCCUCAUUCUGGGGGCAGGGGACCUGUCUGCACUGAUGCAUUUUUCAGAUGAGGAAGCCACCAAGAAAUCAGCAUCCCUGGCCUCUGAGUCAGUGCUGGGCACCGGGCAGCGGUCAGUGGAGGGGUGGGGAUAGGUAAACCGAGGCACAGAGAGGCUCUGGUGCUCAAGCUGCAUGUCUCUCCCGUACCUUUCCUUCUGCUCCCGUGUGUGCCGGCCAUGCCGCAUCUUGCUGAGAAAAGAGACGAACCGUGAGGAGAGGCGUGCUCUGAGCCCGGGGCUGACUAGAUUCUGGAGGAGUUGCUCAGCCCUCCUCCCCAGGUGGAGUAUGACAGGUACGAGGAUGGCCUUGCCUCUUUGCUGGUCCCAGUGUCUCUUUCCCUGAGGCCGACCCUGAGAUCAGGCCCUGCGGGUUGCCCCAGGCUGUGCUGACAUCAUUUCUCCUGGGCUGUGUGGUUAAGGGAGGGGACAGGCUGGUAGUCAGCAACAUGGCCCGAGGGGACACCUCAGGCACAAAAGAGUCUGAUAUGGCCCUGGCCUCCAGGUGACCUCCACUGCCUGACACCCCCCACCCCCACUCCCAUGUCUGGGCCUCUGAGGCUCAGAGUGUGUGUGCAUGGUUUGUGCAUGUGUGUCUGUGUCUGUGUGCAUGUAGGAGUGCAAGCGUGCGUGUGCGUGCGCGUGCGUGUGUGUGUGUGUGUGUGUGUGUGUGUGUGUGUGUGUGUGUGUGUAGGGGGUUGGGAUCAUUCAGGACAAGACAGAGCGUUCAUUGUGCCAGCAGUGUGAGCUGAGAGAUCUAACAAGUCAGGCCUCUGACCAGGGAAGGAGGGGAAGGGUUUCUUCCCUGGACACAGGAGUGUGUGUGUGUGUGUGUGUAUGUGUGUGUGUGUGUGUGUCUGUCUGUCUGUCUGUCUGUCUGUCCACUCACAAGCAGGUCCUGCCAGAGUGACACCUCUGCAGAUCUGUCCCUUCAGUGAGGACUGACUGAAGGCCAAGGGUAGCUGUACCCAGGAACAGUGCCGGACAGGUUUGCCAAGCCGCAAGGCAGGCCAGCUCCCCCAGCUGCUCUUUCUGGGAUGCCACACAGACCAGUGUGCAGAGUGGCAGGCUGAGUGCGCCAGCCACACGCAGGGCUCUCCGAAGGACAGGUCACCACUUGCAGAGGGCCCUCAAGUGAGCCUUGUCUUAGGAAGCCGCAGACAAGAGGUGUGGUCGGACAGUGCCACCACGCCGUGCUUCAGGAAGACCCUUCUCCACAGGAGCAGCAUUUGGGGUCGUCCUAGGAAACGGAGACCACCGGAAAAAGCUGAGGGACCUGACAACACGGGAGAGUUGUGAGCCGAGGUCCUGGGAAGGAACAGGUGGCAUCACUGCAGUCUAAGACCAUGGAACCUCACGGCACAAUUGGAGGGAGCGGCCGCAGUAAUCCUGGGCCAAGCUUCAUCUGGGGCAAACCCAUGGGAGAUUCCCAGCUUCCCUCAAGAGCCCAUUCCAGGGCCUCCUGCUUGCCCAUCGCGCCAACCCCACAGGAAACCAUUGACAUGGAGCCGGAAGAAACCGUUUCCCGGGCCCAGGCAUCUUCAGCUGCUGGGCAGACCAGUCCUGUCGGGGACAGCCCGAGGGCUGGCGUUCUCUGCUGGAUGCUGUCCACUGCUCCGAGUGUCAGAGUGUGGUCUGGCCUCUGCAAGGCCCUCUUCAGCCUGAGGUUUGACUGUUCACUUUUCAUGGAUCUCUCUGGCCCUUAGGUCCCAACUGGGCCUUGAACUGGGGUUGCAGACUGCAUAGCCUCUUCCAAAGGCUUGGCACUCAGCCCCAGCUGGGAGAGGAGAGCAGGCUGGACCUUCAAGAACCUUCCAAGCCAGGGAGGCAGAGAAAGCAUCGGGCCCAGCCCGUUCUAAGAGCUGUUGUGGGCACCGAAUCUUGUAGACAGAAUUGUGCACAGUGCAAGGAUGCCCACCAGGGCCAAUAGGCCUGAGUGUCAACCUAAGCUGUGACUUGAAACUUAAGACUUUGAGAGAGAUUUUAAAAAAAAAUAUUUUA